rnacentral:tRNA from 1 species
UGCGCGGGUGCUGAAAUUGGUAGACAGGCUGGCUUGAGGGGCCAGUGCUCGCAAGAGCGUGGAGGUUCAAAUCCUCUCCCGCGCACCCA